CUGCUUGACAGAUGCCUGCAAAAUUCCAUCACACCUUUGUGUGGACCUGUUUGGGUCUUUAAGAGAGAAGGUUUCAGCCUCUCAGGAGCAAAGAUUUGUAUCCAAGGAGUUCUAUUGGCCCUGCACCAACGAUUAAAGUCUGCAAACUGUUGCAAACAGGUAUAUGAAGAUGACAAAGGCACAUGGGAAGUACUUCUUUAUUAAUGAAAAAUAACAGGGAAUUUACUCUGAGAAUCAAUCCAGAGUUGUUAUGAAAAGAGUCAAUUUUCUGCUUGUAUUCAUUGCAUGGCUGCCAAAUGCUUUCUUCUGGCACAGAAGCAGCGAUGGCAUGGGGUCGGGCAGAAAAGGUGAAAAGUGAGAGAGAGAGAAACCAGAAUCACUUGUCUUGGCUUACCCUGAGUUUGUCCUGACCUACCUAGAGGAACUAAAUGAAAGAGAGGAGGUGACCCAGACAGAAAACCGCAUUCACCAUGGGGCCUGGUCUGCAGCUCAUCAGGAGAUAGACAGCAGCUCAGCAGAAGAGGUCACAGUAUUAAGCCAGAGGCAGGUUCUGCAAAAAAAUGUCAGCAACCCCAAUCAGAAACAACUUUCAGGACCUUUGGACGCCCAUUUAAUGCCUGCAGAUCCCCUAGGGGAGACUACACAGCUGACAGUGGCACUGGUGAGGAAACUAGAAGAGAAACAUCCUAAGGCCUCAGCUCAAAGAUGGCCAUGAGGGGAGAAGCAUGAAGGGACAACGACAUCUGGCCAGUGGAUACAUACCAAAGCAGAGUAUCCCUUGUGGAACAAGUUAACUUGGCAAUCACAGCAGCGUUAAGGAGGUAGAAGCAAGUGUUUGAGAAUGGACAGAAAUGUUGCCACACCAUGUCUUACCAGAAAUCUUCUGGCAGCUAGUUGUAGAAGUACAAGGCAAGUACAGCUGGAGCCAGGCUUUCCAUGGACGGAGGUUCUACUUUUGAAGAAGAAAAAAUUGAAUAAGGAGCUGGAGGAGGAAACAGAAGAAUCAUUAUUUGUUCUUCUGUAUUGCAGAUUCUAAACUGUUUCCACAACAGUCACCUCAGGCCAUUUGUUUCAUUAUAGCAUCAAGAGAUGAAAUCUACAGCAGCAGCAUGACAGGAGAUACAUUAAAUCAGUCAGUGGACCCAUGAAGAGAGAAACUCCAUCUUUCUGCAGUAAUAGCAGAAAUUCAAAGUAGGUUUCUUGAACAGAGAAAGGUGUCUGACUCCAAUAGCAGCAUUCCCUCUGCAUCUCCUGUAAAUCAAAACAAGUCCACAAUACUGAAGGAUGUCCAUAUUUUCAAGUUCUUCUAUACUUUCUGAUACACUAACUUUUCAUUGUAGCUCAACCUGUGCAACCAUUUUGCAUGAAAACUAAAAUCCAAAGAAAACUCAGCAGAGUGCACCUGUUUAAAUACUUAUUUAUUAAUUUUAAUAAGAAAAUGGUUUUGCUUUCCUGAACCCCUUUUGAUUCUUACCCUCUCAAAAAUAGAACCACAUGGUCUUUCAUUUUUCUUUUGUAGGAUCCAACAUCCUUUUGUCUUCAUAUCAAAUCUUUUGGUUUUCAGAGAUAAUGCCUAUGGAUGUUAUUACCAAAAUACUUAGUUUUGAGCUGGCUGCAACAGUAUGUGUUGUAUGAACUGUAUUGCUGCAGAAUUGCUGCUGCAAUUACACUGUAGAUGCAGUUUGUAUUUAGCAAGGCAAGCUUCCAUUGUAUUAUAGAAUCAUAGAAUUGUUUAGGUUGGAAGAGACCUCUAAGAUCCAAACAUUAUACUCACAACCAUUCUGGUGGCUUCUUUUAGAGAAACUGAGUAUGGUUGGGUUGCUCUUACAGUUAAUGUUAGUAAAACUGAAUGUUAAUAGGAAUAUUGGAAUGUACAAAUAACAUUAGUAAAAAUGUAAAACCACUUUCUUGUUCACAUCAUGCAGAAGCAGCUGUAAUCUGUAUGUUAUCAGGAUGUAAAGAAUAAGAACUAACUUCAUUAAAAUAGUUUUUCUCAGGUUAAUAUGGGAAACAAUGCCACCUUCUCAAGCUAUUGAUGAUGCUCCAAAGUAUUCAUUGCUCAGAGUCCGGGUGGGCAUCAGUCUGCUGGUAGGAGGUGACUGAUUUCUUCACUUUGGAAGCUGAAAAUAUGCUGCAUCUUCUACAAGAAGAUCUGUCUUCUUUGUGGAUUGAAACCUUCUCACAAACUGUCUCAGAACAGACCUCUGCAGCUAUGAACCAGAAAGCAGUAAAUACAAUUGCAUAUAGAAAUGGAGCUGGCUGCCAAAACAGGCAAUUCAUAUUGACCGAGGCAUUCCCUUUGGUAGGUAACAAUCCCCAAAGUCAACUGUAAUGACCAGUCACUGCUGCUACCUACUCACUCCUUGUCUAUUUUUCCGCAUUCUUACACAUGGUCUUUAAAAUUUCAUCAACUUAUACUUAAAUCCUUGCAUUAUUGCUAAUAAGCCCACUAAGGAGAAAUAUGCAAUCAGUAUUAAAGGGCUUAACAGCUCAUCCCUCUCAGGAUGUAAAGGCGGCCAAGCUAUGGAACAUUUCAGACAGUUCAGAGAGCUGACCUCAAGGAACUGUGCCUGUGGAGGACUUACCUACUAUCGAGGGUGUGGUGGCUUGGCUUGGUCAGGAAUGGAGGCCACAGAUUCAUUCUGUAAACACUACUAAUUUUAUGGGAUUGUCCUGGAACAGACCCAGUUAUUGCAAAGGUGACUCUCAGUAACUUUAAGCUGUUUCUUGGUGGCUGCGUGUCUCUCAUCCAUAAAGUCCAUCUCCUGAUUCCUUGUCAUAAUCACUGAUUUCAUGGAUUUAAAGAUAAUCUCUUAAGUGGGAACUCCCUGUAAACCAACUCAGGGGUGUCCUGAAUAUUAAGCAACUUCUUAGAAGUAUGAAUUGUCCCAUACUUUCCAACAGAAUAUUUGAAUGCUAGAGAAUCCGUAUGUCAGCUAAGGCAGGGCUAAUCACUGUAACAACCAUGUCAAGCAUGUGUGCUUCUCCCUGUUCAUUCAAUAUGGAGACAGAUAUUGAGCAGAGUAGGAGAAGCAUUAGAACAUCUAGUUCUGAAUGUCUACAAGAUAACAAAACCACAGAAAUUAUCUUCUUUUCAAUGAUAGCCCAUGAUAGUGUUGUGGGCUGUGAAUGAGCAACAGAAACAUUCGGGAGAGGAGUGUGAAGGAAAAGCUAAAAUCCACAAUGCUGCUGAAGGAAGGACUGUAAUGGACAUUGCAGGUAAAAAGACAAUCUUAAAGUCUCAGUUAACUCUUUGUGAAAUUGCAUAUAGGUGGGUUUUCAUACAGCUACAGUAUUUUGUUACAGAGCUAAAAGACGACCCUUUCCGAAUAAAUGCUUACAACUAUCUUUAGAAAUCCUUUACCUUGAUUUUCACUUUCUUACAGAAAAAUUAACGCUAUUAGAAAAAAUAUUAACAUUGAAUAAACAUGCUGUUUGGUUUUGUAUUUUAAUAGGCUUUUUUUAGUUUAAUCUUAACUCAAAAGAAUAGCGCUUUUGGACUAAGAAUGAAUUGCACUACAUAUAGGUAUUACUUUGAAAUGUUUGUGAAAAGUUAAAGGGAAUACACCUAUAAGGCCAGAAUUCUACACCAUCCAGAGCAAUGAUGUGCCUAAUUUGAGAGCAUAAUUCAUGUCAUUGUAUGUACAAAUUAUACUAGUUGCUGCCUAACUGACCAUUACUUUUAAAAAUUUUUAAUCUAUGUACACAACUGCAGUCAUUGUGCAGGUUAAUUAAAUGCUAUCGAAAAUCAGACUUGGUGUAAAGGUUAUGUUAAAUAAAUAUCAGAAUACUUAAAAAUUAUUAAUUGAUCAGUAUUGCAUGCAAGAUGAUAUACAUUUCAGAGUAAGAUUCUGAAGUAUUUUUAUGAUAUUACUGUUAAUAAUUUUUAUUGCUUACUUGAUACAUCUGUGAGUAUGUAAAGACUGAUUGUUCUUAAUACCUUUAAAAUAAUUAGAAGAAAAAAAAGGUUAUUGGGAUCAUGAAUCCAUUUUAUAUACUAGUCAAUCAAGAGAGUAAGAAAGGAGAAAUAAAGACUUGAGAUUAGCUCAAAGAUAAAACAAACAUUAAAAAUGUAAAGGAAUUAUGUGUUAAAUUUACAAUUAUAUUUUUAUAACAUUAAUUAUUAGAUGGAUGUCAGUCAUGUAAAUUUAGGUCAGAUCAAAAUUACAACCAUCCCAAAAUAUCAUUGAGUUUAUUGAAGGUUUUAAAGUUGAAGUCAUGCAACCGGUGCCAGGAAUUAGAUACCACAAACAGGUGGCUCAGAAGUCAGCAACUUGCUCCCUGCUUCACACAAUACCAAUUAAUUCAUUAAUUACACUUAAGGCAACAUGGACAGGCAGUAUUGGAGAGGAGAGACCAGAAAUGAAGUUUCUCCAUCUUUGCUAAAUACAUAACUACUAUGCACAAGAAGAAUAGUCCUUUUUGAAUUUUGUCUGUUUGUCCUUAUUAGUUUUAAAUGUGUAAUGACCUGUUUUCACAGAGGGUGAUGAGAUUUCUGACCAACUGUGCUCUAGUUUGUAUUAUAAGAGGUUCCUGAGAGUAGGACAACCAGAAUCAGGCCCACUGACUCCUUCAACUACUCUUUUAACAGCUAAGCUACACGUAAUAAUAGAGGAUGCAAACCACCUACCCUGUUUUUGAAUAAAAGUAGCGUGGCUGAUUUCUCUCGUGCUCCACUCUGCUGUCCAUUCCUAAAAAGCCUGCUCAGAUGCACAUAACUAGGACCUGCUAGGUUUGACCUGGAGAUUAGAUAUUAUCUCAGGACUGAAGAAAGUUGAAGGGGAAGUUACUUCCAUGCACAUAUUGAAGCCUAAUUGUAGGGACUUGGGGAAAAAAAAUCACUCUAAGAGACACAAACUGAAUUAAAUCGAGGACCUACAAAGUGAAGUACACAGUGAAAAGUAUGUCACUUUCUGGUUUAUGGGUGACUUCCUUGAUUUUCAGUGCCUUCUGUCUUCAAUCCCUUUUUCAUGCACCAAAACAAAUAUCUUGAUAUUGUCCACUGUUUCUGUUGAAGUGCAGUGGCAGCUGCACACCUGAAUUCCUCCUGUUACUCUGAAAAUCACCAAAAGUUAUUUUUUAACCCACCACGCAUUUUCUGCUUCAUAAUGAUUAGAUCUAUGCCUACCUUAUUGAUAUUUUUUUUUCCCUUUUCCUCAUUUCUUCUUCUAGUUCAUAACCAAUAUUCAUUCCUCCUAUGUCCAUCUUUAGGCAGCCUUUACCUUGCUGCAGCUGUAUUCUUACCCUCAGAUAAUCAACACUGUUUACCUCUCUUGUAAAAAUGAUAAAGUUCAAUAAAAAGUUAUAAUAAAGAAAUGAUUGCGUGGUAGUUAUCACUCUGUAGAUACAACUAGUAACAGUAGGGAUUCCUGACACACCAUCCUUUCUUCAAAAACUGCCAGUGUCACUUCUUUUUUAUGCUUUUGCUAGCAAAACUGAAUCAAUGGGCUAAGAAUGCAUACACUUCAGCUAACUUGAAUGAGCAGCAUAAACGCUAGCAUGCUGCUUGGAGAAUUAAUAGAUGGGAAAGAAGAUAAAACAGAUAAAUCUUUUUCGCAAAGCUAUGAUAUGGAAAGAAUUGUGAUUUACUGUAUCAAAAAUAAAUUCAAAAAAAUCUAGAAAGGGAAAGCCAAAAAAAUGAGGAAAAGAAACGCUUUAAAAACUGGGGGAAAAAAUCUCUCUUUUUAAUUUUAGAGUGUUGAAAAGUUUGCCUGGCAUUGAUGUGCUAUAUAAAAUGAAUGUAAACCCUACUCAGUACUACUUCAAACAAAAAUGGCAGUGCAAUUUUCAAAUUGUGAAUUUAACAUCUUGCAUGCUUUGAGUGGUUUUAAGUGUUAUUCUGUGUAUUAACAGGAGACAGAUCCUCUAGAUGAUAAAAGCACAUGUGCAGUGUAUUAUUCCACCCUUUUGGGAGCAGGAAAAAUUUUUUUGCUUGUGUUUCAAAUGCAAAUUUUCUCACUUCCUAAAGGAACUUUUGAGACUCCUUAAUAUUGCAUAUUAUUAAAUUUUGAAUGCUAGGUAAUUUUAAAAUGAAUUGCUUAACUAGACACAAAUUCCUGUA